rnacentral:rRNA from 1 species
GGGCGCAAGCCUGAUGCAGCCAUGCCGCGUGUGUGAAGAAGGCCUUCGGGUUGUAAAGCACUUUCAGUCGUGAGGAAGGUGGUGGUGUUAAUAGCUGUAUCAUUUGACGUUAGCGACAGAAGAAGCACCGGCUAACUCCGUGCCAGCAGCCGCGGUAAUACGGAGGGUGCGAGCGUUAAUCGGAAUUACUGGGCGUAAAGCGCAUGCAGGUGGUUUGUUAAGUCAGAUGUGAAAGCCCGGGGCUCAACCUCGGAAUAGCAUUUGAAACUGGCAGACUAGAGUACUGUAGAGGGGGGUAGAAUUUCAGGUGUAGCGGUGAAAUGCGUAGAGAUCUGAAGGAAUACCGGUGGCGAAGGCGGCCCCCUGGACAGAUACUGACACUCAGAUGCGAAAGCGUGGGGAGCAAACAGGAUUAGAUACCCUGGUAGUCCACGCCGUAAACGAUGUCUACUUGGAGGUUGUGGCCUUGAGCCGUGGCUUUCGGAG